rnacentral:rRNA from 1 species
CCUACGGGAGGCAGCAGUGGGGAAUAUUGGACAAUGGGCGAAAGCCUGAUCCAGCAAUGCCGCGUGAGUGAUGAAGGCCUUAGGGUUGUAAAGCUCUUUUACCAGGGAUGAUAAUGACAGUACCUGGAGAAUAAGCUCCGGCUAACUCCGUGCCAGCAGCCGCGGUAAUACGGAGGGAGCUAGCGUUGUUCGGAAUUACUGGGCGUAAAGCGUACGUAGGCGGUUAUUCAAGUCAGAGGUGAAAGCCUGGAGCUCAACUCCAGAACUGCCUUUGAAACUAGAUAGCUAGAAUCUUGGAGAGGUGAGUGGAAUUCCGAGUGUAGAGGUGAAAUUCGUAGAUAUUCGGAAGAACACCAGUGGCGAAGGCGACUCACUGGACAAGUAUUGACGCUGAGGUACGAAAGCGUGGGGAGCAAACAGGAUUAGAUACCCUGGUAGUCCACGCCGUAAACGAUGAUAACUAGCUGUUCGGGCUCUACGAGCUUGAGUGGCGCNGCUACGCAUUAAGUUAUUCCGUCCGUCGGGAGGUACGGUCGCGAGAAUUAAACUACAAGAAGUAGUAGACGNGAGAGAGCGACGACGACGACGACGGAGGAGGAGG